rnacentral:lncRNA from 1 species
AUAUACUUUAAAAAGGGAAACAAAAGUGUCAAGAAUUCAUUAAAAAUAUGCAGAAGUCAACAAAAGGAACUUCAGAAGAUAUAUGCAAGUCAUACUAAAUUUUUAAAAAUUUUAAGCAAAUUACAUAUGGUAGAGAGUAAUGAUUUCAUGUACAAUCUUCUUUUUCUAUUCUUAUUUUUAUAGAGAAAUGUUUAUUUGUUUAAUUUGUCAGGUUUGUAUGUACAUAUGACAAUAUAAAUGGAGGAGGUGAAGAACAUGAAUGUAGCAGACCCCAACCACAAAACUGUUUAUUUGGACCACCAUUAGAUGAUUCAUUUCUCCUUGUGAAUUAAAGCUAUUGAAAAUUAUUUUAAUUUCAAGCUCUAAUAUAAUAAUAAUAAAAGGAAACUUUAAAAAAGAUAUGUUUGUACAUAUAUGUAUAUAUUAUUGUGUAUAUAUAUAUAUAUGCAUAUAUACACACACAUAUAUAUGUAUAUAUGCUGAAAGCAAAGGCAAGUAGCAAAAGUUGAAUGCAAAAGAAUGGUACCAUAAAAACAGUCUGCAUUCUAUAUGAGAAUAGUUUGAAAUAACUGGGGAGAUUUAUCCUAGAGAAAAAACAACCCAAGGAAAUAUGAUAGUUCUUCCCCAAACCUAUGGCACUCCUUAAUUGUUCUUGAAUCACACUCACUUUUUAAUCUUAAUACACUACAAUUCUUACUGUAGUUCUGUUAUCUCAAUUCUUCUCAUCCUCAUUCUAAGACCAAAACACAAGUCUAUGUAGGCUACUCAAAGCUACUAAGUAAUUUCAUAAUAAACUCUCUUGUAUUAUCCAGUGGAAAAUUUCAUUUCAUAAAGAAUUCUUUGUCUCAGAAAUGGAGAUAAAUGUAGGAUAUUUGGUUCUAAUUAACUUUGGAACCCAACCAAUAAGCUGAGAUAUGGGAUCUCAGGCAGUUUGAACCACCAUUCAGUAUUUCAUUUGUCUUUGUUAUUUCUAAAUUAUAAAACAUUAUUGUGAAUAAAACGUAUUAAAUCUUUUUUGAAAAUUCUCUUAAUUUCAAGCUCUAAAAU